UACGUAGGGUGCAAGCGUUAAUCGGAAUUACUGGGCGUAAAGCGUGCGUAGGUGGUUUGUUAAGUCUGAUGUGAAAGCCCUGGGCUCAACCUGGGAACUGCAUUGGAAACUGGCUUACUAGAGUGCGGUAGAGGGGUGUGGAAUUCCCGGUGUAGCAGUGAAAUGCGUAGAUAGUCGGGAGGAACAUCUGUGGCGAAGGCGACACCCUGGACCAGCACUGACACUGGAGGCACGGAAAGCGUGGGGAGCAAACAGGA
rnacentral:rRNA from 1 species